GUCUAAUUCUGUUUUGUGAGUACAUUCACUUGCGUCAUUUUUUUGAUUCCACAUAUAAGUGAUAUCAUACAGUAUUUCUCUUUGUCUGACUUACUUCAUUUCAUAUAAUCACGUCUAGGUCCAUCCAUGUUGCUGCAAAUGGCCUUAUUUCAUUCUUUUUUAUGGCUGAGUAAUAUUCCAUUGUAUGUAUGUACCACAUUUUCUUUAUCCAUUCUUCUGUCGAUGGACAUUUAGGUUGAAGAAGGCUCAACUUUAACUUCCAGCUGAUAUCUGCCAAUUUCCCUUUCAUGCAGUGGAGCCCAGGGGGCCACCAGAAAAGUCUCAGGUGGGACAGAGUGACGGCCGAGACACACCCUAAGGUGGGAAUUCUGAAGGGGCCCCCAGCACCUCCAAAGGCUGGCAAGCCCCUUCUUCUCCCUCGGGGGUUCCCUAGCCUCCCCCCGGGCCACACUCACUGCUGCCUCUCACACUGGCCUCACUGGCUUGCUGGGGCAACCUGGGGGGCCAGAGCUGCAGGACCUCAUCUUUGAAUUCUGAGCCUCACACAGUACCUGGAUCUCCUAGAAGCUUCGUGAAGACUAGCCUAGUGGCUGGGAGCCACGCGGCCCGGGCUCCAGUCUGAUUCUGCCACGUGCCUGCUGCGUCCUUCGAGAGUUGUGUCACCCACAUGUGCCUCAGCUGCCUCAUGUGUAGAGGUCACGAUAGCACUGACCUCAAACGGCUGCUGUGAGGGGGGAAGGGUUCACAUUUGCAAAGUGCCUGGAAGGUAGGAAGCAUCGGGUCACCGUGCAUUCAGGGAGCAGGUGAGUGCAGGAGCGCUGGGACUUCCCGAGGAUGUGUGCUGGUCCAGGGCUGGGCAGCGGGUGCGGGCCCACCUCCCUCCCCCCCUGCAGCCCACAUGGGGCAGGGGGUCCACGGGAGGCGCAGCUGUACCCCACAGGUCUCGAAGGGUCCAGGCCCCUUGUCUGCCCAGUUGUUCUGCGUGCUGUGUCCUGGGGUGUCACCCGCACCCGCGUGGCACUUGUUCUGGCUCCGGGUAGGGGGAGGGGGAGAGGAAAGUCCAGGACAAGGGGCUGCCUUUGUGAGGACAUGUCCCGGAGGUGACAGCGUCUGCUUGUCCAACGGGCCAGAUCCCCUCCCCGGCCACCUGGCUUCCGUCUCUGUCUGGUCAGUUGUCCAGCUGACACUCCUUGGUGAGGUUCUGUUGCUAAAAGGAAGAAGGGGAGACUGGUUGCUGGGGGACAGUUAGCAGACUCGGCCCCAGAGUGUAGAGCACGAGGUCAUCAUCUUGGAAGCAAGCCUUGGUUUGCAGUUCCCCGACCAGGGAUCGAACCUGCACCCCCCUGCAGUGGAAGCGCAGAGUCCUAACCACUGGACCGCCAGGCAAGUCCCAGUGCGUUUCCUGUUUAGAUUCAUUUCAUAAGCGAGGUCCAUUCACCGGUCGACUCAUCCGUCACAAUUGCCGCUGCACCUGAUGUCCCCACAAGUUCACGUCACAGACGCCAGGGAGGCUGAGCUCGUCCCAUUUUCCAGAACUCCCCGGGGCCACACUGGGGCCUCCUUACAGCCCUGUGAACUCCGGAUGGCGGUUCCAGUUCCAGGGGCCCAGAGAGAAUGGCCGGAAGUCCCAGAGCACUGACCCUCCCUUGCCGCAUCACCUGCCCGAGGAGUCACCAGAAGUGCACGUGCAGAGGAAAUUGCUCCGAUAGCAUCUCCCCUUGAACUCACGCCUGGAACCGGGGCCUGGAGAGACUCGAAUGGGUAACCCACCCGCCUGUGCCCCGAGUUCCGGAGGAGGGCUAGUAAAUACUCGAGUUUGCAUUGCCUGGGGAGAGAUGGAAUUUCUCACCUGGUCCACUUCCUCUCUUUGUAAUUAUCAUGAACAGUAGCGCAGCCCCUCCUUCUCCAGACCUUGGUGACCUGGGGGAAGGCGCAGAGGAAACAGUUCCGGGCUUUCUGCGCCGUCCCAUAUUAUAUUAGCUCCUGUUUCCGCUGUAACAAAUUACCGCAAACGUAGCGGCUUUUGAAGCAACACACAUUUUUCAUCUUACGGUUCGGCAGGUCAAGGUCAACACGAGUCUCCCUGGGCUGGUCCGGUGCGGGCCGGGCUGGUUCCUGCUGGGGCUCCUGGGAGAAGCCGUGUCCUGCCUUUUCCAGCUUUAGGGCCCCACGCUCCACGGCUUGUGGCCUUUCCUCCGUCUUCAAAGCCAGCAGCAUGGCAUCCCUGCGACCUUCCUCCUAGGUCACAUCUCUCUCCAUCUGCAGCCGGGCAAGGCUCUGCACUUGCAGGGACUGGGGGCCUAGACGGGACCUGAGCAAGCCGCUUGUCCCUCGGGACCCUCCUCACCUGCCGGGUAGGGUGACAGUGCCUGCCUGUGUCACAGGAGGGGUGAGAACCAGACACGCUGGGCUGGACAAGGUUUGAGAAGCUGUGAGUGUUGUGAACGGCAUGGGUACGAGCACUUUCUGGGACGGGGCGGGGCAUCGAGCAGAGGCCACUGGAAGCACUGAUGCCUCUCGGGCGCUCACAGCCUGGAAGCCCCAAUCCCUCCCCUCCUUGGACACUUAGAAGCACCCAUCAUGUGGCCUCGGGAGACCAGGGCACGUGGCAGGGUGGGUGUCUCCUCGGGGAGCUGCGUGCAGAGCUGUGUCCCCAUGUCACUGGGUCACACCUGGAAGGUACCCCCCUCCCCGGACUGCAGAGAGGCAUGGUUCAGAAGAGGGGGCCCCACCCCGGGCUGGAACGUGCCGGGCUGGCUCAACACCGGCCCCGUGCUGGAGAAGCUCAGGGGACAGUGCUCAGGGAGUAGAUGCCUGCCGGGGGAUGGAAGGCCCUGACGGGGUGCACACCCCGUGCCGCUAAUCCGGAGGCGCGGGAAACCCCCAGGGGAGGGCGUUAGAGUCAAGUCGGAGAAGGUGAGACAGGGCUUUGGGUGGAGGGCAGUCCCCAGGAGCAGUCACGGAGGGUGAGGGCGUGGGUGCUCCGGAGCUGACCCCCCUCCCGAAGCAGCCUCACCUCCAGGCAAGGCUGUGAGAAAGAAGCCCCAGGUAUGGCCUGGACACCUGGAACCUCUGUACCUUCUUCAGGUGCCGGGGCUGCCCCCAGGGUUACCGUCAGCUGAGAUCAGGGAUCGUGGCUUUGAUUUAGGAAGUUUGUUCAUUCAGCAGAUAUUAGCUGAGCGCCUGCCUUAUGCCAGCACUGAGCUAGGUGCUGGGGCGAGUCUCCCCUCGCAGGCACAGGCAUUACGCACUCUGUAAAGAACUCAGUGUUGCAAACGUGUUUGUUGUUCAUUCUUCAUUCUGUCGUUCACACGACAAGCGUCCCUGGGGUCCUCCUGUGUCCCAGGCCCGGUGAACACGCCAGUGAACAAGACACACAAGUCCAGCCCGGAGCUCGGCUCCCGUGAUGAUGACGGAUAACAGUGACCAGCGUUCUCUUGGCGAUUCCAUUUCACAGCAGCCACAGGUUGAUCUAUGCCUGACUUGGAAAUAAAAAACCCGGGAACAACUUAACUGCCUAAUUAGUUCUGGAGGAUAACCAACCAAUCAAGGUGAGGCUGAGUCCAAAACUAGAUAUGAACGCUUAGAAAUAAAUGAAAAUAUAGCAUCUUCCCCCUCACCUGAAAUGCUUGCGCUUCUGAAGACAUGGAAACAUUUUGAACGAUACAGUGUUGAUUUCAGUGUUUAUCAUGUGUCGGUUCUACAUUACGUCUGGGUCUUUAAUUGUCCUAAAAUGAUUAUUUUGUAAUGAAAAGUCAGAGUGUCCUAUGACAGUGUGUGAAUAAAGAGGGAAGGAAGGGUAGGCGUCGCAAAAGGAUGGUGCAUGUGGGCCGGCCCCCCUCUGCCUGGGGACUGCCUCUGGACAGGCCGGGCACAUGUGGCCGGAUUCAUUCCAGAGGGAGAGGAAACGAGACUUCCACGCUGCGUCAAGGCCAAGAGGUUUGAGGCUAGAAUUGCAUUCCUCUCAAGUCCGAGACCUUGAGAUUCUCCGAGGAUCUGCCAGGAAGUGUCCUUCUUUACUGAAAGACAAAAGGUGGUAAUUUUAUGACCACCUUAUAAGUAACAGUGUCACCAUCUUAGCGUGACGGACAUAGAUUCAUUCUGUCUGAAAGAAGCAUCAGCAGAAGAAGUGGAACAUUUGACCUUUUUCUCCAAAUUUCUACUUUCCAUA